GUCAGGAUGGCCGAGUGGUCUAAGGCUCCGGACACAAGGUUCAAUUCCUUCACAUGAUGCAUGGGAGAGUAUUCUGGUCUCUGUAUGGAGGCGUGGGUUCGAAUACCACUUCUGACA
rnacentral:tRNA from 1 species